rnacentral:lncRNA from 1 species
AGGCAGCUCCCUGGCUGUCAUGUUCUGAGAAGCUUCCUUCACCCAUGACCUUUUUCUGCCUCCUUCUGCUGCCUCAUCUUGAGCCUAUAGCAAUGGAGUCUGCUGACCAUGGACUAAACCUCUGAAACCAUGAGCCCCAAAUUUAUUGUUUUCUUCUCUAAUUUUUUUUAAUCAGGUAUGUUUUUCCCAGCAAUGAAAAGCUAACGCAGACAUUGAUACACAGAAGUGGGGUCACUGCUGUGACUAACCUGACCAUGUGAUUGUAAAAUAUUUGGAAAUGAUUUGUGGGAUGUAUUGAAAGCUUUGGAAACGAAAGCUGGAGAAGUUUAUAAUAUUGUGAACAGAACUUCAUAUUAUGAUGGGAGCUCAAAAGACCAGAAAUCUGAUUGAAUGAAAACUGUGUUCAUGAGAUUUCGGAGGAGAAUAAGUAUUCUAUUGGGAAUUGGACUAGAGGCCACCAGCAUUAUAUUCUGGCAACAUUUGUCUAUAUUUGCACAUGUCCUGAGACUUCUUGUGAGACUGAAUUUCAAAGUAAUAGACCGAUUAAUCUGGCAGAGAAAAUUGCAAAGCAGCACAGUCAGUGGUAUAGAUUUUGUUUAUAACUUUUAGACAGGUUUACUAUGAGAAUCAGGAGAUAAAAUCAGAUCUGAAGGGUUUUAGAAACUUGCAUCUUGGACAGAAAAGUACCUGGGGCCAAGAAAGAUGUUAUUGUUGAAGAGAUCAUAGCCCCUAUAAAAAUGUUACGUACUUUGUACAGAGAUUAUGGGAAUGAUGGCUUUUAGGGCAUCUCAGGAAUUUGCAAGACCACACCCAUUAAGACUCUAACAUAUAAAAGAUUAAAUUCCUUUGAGAAAAGAUCAUGGGGUCACACUGAAGGUGUUUCACCAUGUUCAGCUGCCCAGGCACUCAGAGGUCACUGCACCCAUGGUUCUAGGUGUGCAGGUAUAGUGGCACCCUCUCAUCCACAGAAAAUCUUAACUAAGGUUCUCCAAGAAUCUUCACCAUAAUUGAUUGUAAGACUAUCAGCGAAAGAGACUCUUGUAGAGUUCAAUGUGGGUAAACUUCCUAUUUUCCUUUUGCUCUAUUUUACUUGGCAGGUGGCCUGGGAGAAAUCAUCACUCCAGGUGCUGAAUUCCCUUUUAUUAGUUUUUCACAAACAUUUAACCAGUAUAGUAGUUUUUAGAAGUGUGUUUACAAAUGCAAAAUAUGAUAAUAAAAAGAAAAAAAAAAACCUUUAACAAGGCCUCUGGCAUUGAGCUGGAGCUUCACAAGUGUCUACAUUUCAAAGAUAAGAGAAGUUACCAAUUGGGCUCCAUGGUAACAGCUGGCAGGGGGAGGAAAGAAAGGGGAGAAGAAGCUUUCCCCUUCUCAGAUAUUGUCCUUGAAAGAUUAACUUUCCUAAAACAUUGAAAAAGCUGCUUUUAUGUGAACAUCUGCAGGCUGUGAACGUGUGAGCCUCUCCCCUUACAUGCUGAGUAUAAAGUUGUGAAACUACCUGAACUUGGGGUUCAGGGGAUUAACUGAUUAUAGCAAAAGCUGUACCCCCUGGACUUGGCUGCAGCCAAAUAAUACUGUUUACUGCUAUCUUUGGUGCUUUGCCUCAUCUGUCCCCUACAACAGAGGGGCCAGUUACUACAAAAUCUGGCAUAACAUUGGUUCAUUAUCUAUGACAUGCUAGUUCUUCAGGAACACAAGAUGCUGGAGUUAAAGGGUCAUGGAGGAUUCUACCAAGAUUUCAAAGGAAGGUCUUAGAAGGCAAGAAAAAUGUAGUAGGGUUAUAAUUUCUGUCAGCUGUCCAUGAGAGGGUGAUAUGUGAAACUAUGAAGGUGAAGGCAAUGGAAUAGAGACCCUAGGAAUUAAGAGAUGUUAGGAAUGCAGAUUUGUCUGCUGGAAAACAAAACAAAACAAAACUGCCAGCUGUAGAGAAAUCCAGGCUAAAGUAAAGCCCAUUCGCUCUACAAUCAGCAAGGGCAAAGAGGUGUGUUAGAGUCUGUAAACAAGUCAGGAUGGCUCCUGGCAUUUUGCCAGAGAAAUGUUAGAGUCUGUAAACAAGUCUUGAUGGUGCCUGGCAAAAUGCCAGAGGGAGUGGUUUGUGAAGUAACACCAGCGAGCUAUUGAGUGUGGAGAUUCCUUAUUGGUUGACUGAUGUAUCGAGUUUAUGCUAAUUAGAUAAGCUGUGUGGAAUGUAUAAAUACUGCUCCUGGCCUGCAAUAAACGGAUCCUACUCCUGCUGUAUCAAUCUACACAAGUUGUUCGUCACCCCCUGGUUAUUUUGCUGCAGCCGGACUGUGGCAGAGGUGGGCUGCCCAAGCUCUUUGGAGAGAUCAUCUCAUCACCUAAAUGCUGUACCCAUUGUUACAGGACCCCGUUUGCCCAGCUAUGGUUUGGUUCCAUCCCUUUCUUCCCUUUGGAAUGGAAAAGUUUAAUCUAUGCCACUGUGUAUUGCAUAUAUACAACUUGAUUUUGAUUUUUACAAAGCUCAUAGCCAAAAGUUUGCCUUGUAUCUCAGGUAAGAUUUUGGACUUUUGGACAAUGCUGUAACUCUUAAGGCUAUGGAACUCUUGGUGAUAGGUGAAAUGCAUUUUACAUUAUAAGAUAGAUAUGAGGUUUGGGGAUUCAGGGGCGGAAUGUCAUGUUUUAGAUAUAAAGUGCACUCCAAAAUCUUCUGCAUUAAUGAAGAAAUAUUCACAGCUAAAAUGACUGAAUUGUGAGAGAUGUAAUUUAAUCAGUACAAAUUAAUUUGAAGGAACUGGGUGGUAACUGUAGGAAUGUGGUAACUGAGCAGCUGAAAGAGGUGGGUCUCUGAGGGUAUACUCUGGAAAGGUUGUCCUUUCUGUGACCCACUUUUUCCCCUAUUUGUUGGGGCCCUUUGUGAACUAAGGUCAUUUGUUCCAGCUAUUAAGGAAGGGAAGCUGCUCUUCCAGGAACUCCUGGGUAAAAUUCCCGGGUUCCAGAAAGCCCAGUUCAUGCUGGCACCGUGACUGACCUAGCUCGCAGCUGCAAGUUCAAACACAGAGCCACUGGAGAUGGGCAUAACCUGUCAAGCACAAACAACCUGUUUAUCUCCUGAAGGAGACCCUUAUCCACCCGCUUUGGUCUGUGCUGCUAUCAAUAAAGCAAACAGACUUUUUUUCUUUUUUAGAAGUCAGACCCGCUGAUCGGCUCAACUUUUCACACCCCUACUUUGAAAAUCUGUAAUUCUUGCCUUGUAUUUCUUGAUAUGUUACUUUCAUAGCUUUUAUUUUGUAGCCAGCCCAAUCUUUCGAUGGGUACACUUUCCCUCGCCCAUGCCAGAUGUGAGUGAGACCUCUCUCUCUCUCUGCUUCCUGACCCCACCAUGGGCUGAACAGUUUUCCUUCACUGGGCCCUUCUGCCGUGAUGGGUUGCCUCACGUUGGGCCCAGUUCAGUGGGGUCAGCUGUCUCUGGUCUGAGACCUCUGAAAAUCCUGAGCUCCAAAUAAAAUUUUCUUCUUCUAACUUGUUCU